rnacentral:lncRNA from 1 species
UCAAAAUAAGGAAAGAACUUUGGUAGAGCAGAAUAGAUUUAGGCAGUAUCAUAAGUUUUUUAUUUUUUUUAAUAUAAUUUACGCCAUUAGGAGGCGUAGUCCUUAUAUUGCUAACCAAAAUUACAGCAUAACAGAGGAGGGCAUCAACCUAGCAUAACAGAGGAGGGCAUUAACCAAAAGUUCAGUAUCAUAAGGUUUUAUAGGAAAAUAUGUUAAUUUUGUUUGGUUCUUGGCA